rnacentral:rRNA from 1 species
AUUGAACGCUGGCGGCAGGCCUAACACAUGCAAGUCGAGCGGAUGAAGGGAGCUUGCUCCUGGAUUCAGCUGCGGACGGGUGAGUAAUUCCUAGGAAUCUGCCUGGUAUUUGGGGAUAACGUCCGGAAACGGGCGCUAGUACCGCAUACGUCCUGAGUUUGAAAGUGGGGGAUCUUCAGAGCUCACGCGAUCAGAUGAGCCUAGGUCGGAUUAGCUAGUUGGUGGGGUAAAGGCCUACCAAGGCGACGAUCCGUAACUGGUCUGAGAGGAUGAUCAGUCACACUGGAACUGAGACACGGUCCAGACUCCUACGGGAGGCAGCAGUGGGGAAUAUUGGACAAUGGGCGAAAGCCUGAUCCAGCCAUGCCGCGUGUGUGAAGAAGGUCUUCGGAUUGUAAAGCACUUUAAGUUGGGAGGAAGGGCAGUAAGUUAAUACCUUGCUGUUUUGACGUUACCAACAGAAUAAGCACCGGCUAACUUCGUG